CCCAGACUCCUACGGGAGGCAGCAGUAGGGAAUUUUCGUCAAUGGGGGAAACCCUGAACGAGCAAUGCCGCGUGAGUGAAGAAGGCCUUCGGGUCGUAAAGCUCUGUUGUAAGAGAAAAACGGUAAUGAUAGGGAAUGAUCAUUAAGUGAUGGUAUCUUACGAGGAAGCCACGGCUAACUACGUGCCAGCAGCCGCGGUAAUACGUAGGUGGCAAGCGUUAUCCGGAAUGAUUGGGCGUAAAGGGUGCGCAGGCGGAACCAUAAGUCUGAAGUAAAAGCCAUCGGCUCAACCGAUGUAAGCUUUGGAAACUGUGGAUCUGGAGUGCAGGAGAGGACAGUGGAAUUCCAUGUGUAGCGGUAAAAUGCGUAGAUAUAUGGAGGAACACCAGUGGCGAAGGCGGCUGUCUGGCCUGUAACUGACGCUGAGGCACGAAAGCGUGGGGAGCAAAUAGGAUUAGAUACCCGAGUAC
rnacentral:rRNA from 1 species